rnacentral:lncRNA from 1 species
AAGAAAAUGCUAACUCACAGGAAGUUUAGGUCAAUAAUGGAGGAGGAGGAGAUCAAAUUGCCACAUUUUCAGAAUCCAGUCGUCAGUACCUGGAGGUAUCCUUACAUUUGCUUUACUCUAUAUAAUUGAAAUAAAUUAUUAAUAAAAUAUAAAAAUAGUAAUCUAUGUAUGAUAUAGAGUCAUGAUUACUUGUCUCAAUCGGUUAUCACGUUCUGUCUAAUACAUCCUCUUAUAUCAUAUUGAUAUCACAUUUUGUACCCAUGUGCGAUGUCUAUGUUAAGAAGACUUUGAACUUUCUGGGGUCUUUCUUAUAUCUUAUUUAUAUCGUAAUUAUUUUUUAUGAAGUAAAAAAAAACUACUUAUGUAGGAAAAAAAAAAGACUUAAUAUGUCGUUAUCUUUUUUUUUUUUCCUUAAAAAGUCUCUUCCAAAAUUUAUUUGAGUUUCAUUCACAGUUGAGUUGGCCUUGUAUCCUUUCCAGUUGGCUUUUACUUUGCCUACUCAGCGUAUAUUUGCAUGUUUCUUAUUCUUAGGUCAUUAAUAAUCUAUUAUAUGUUUUGUCUUCAUCCCAUUAGACACUUGCAAUUUUGUUUAAUUUGGACUCACUCUUUAUUUGUUUUAUUUUUUAUACUGAGAUUCACUCUUUGGUUAUUUACAACUUAGUUUAUUUUUAUAAUAUCUUAUAUUUUUCAUAUUGCCAUUUUCAUUUUUAGCAAGUGUGUCGUGUAAUAUGAUGUUCUCACAAUUAAUCUUAAUUAACCAUGUAAUUAGAAUAAAUUGUUGAAAUUAAAUAUAAGUAAAAUAGUCUGAUUAACUUGUCUCGUCGGUUGUCAUGUCCUCUUUAACACAUCCUCCUUAUCUAUAUCAUAUUGAUACCAUGUUCUGUAUCGUGCUAGUAUUCACAAAAAUUUAGUGCAAUGUCAAUGUACAGACGAAGACUUUGAGCUUCCAGCGUCUUUCUUAAAUGUUUUCCUAGCAAGUUGUGGUUUCUUUUUCCCUUUUUAUUUUGUCAUGCUACAGAGCAAGUUGGGAAAUUGUGAUUUAACAAUGUUAAUUGUAUUUGUCAGUAGUAGUUGUACAAGAAAGAUAAAGACAUAUAU